rnacentral:rRNA from 1 species
CAGCAGCCGCGGUAAUACAGAGGGUGCGAGCGUUAAUCGGAUUUACUGGGCGUAAAGCGUGCGUAGGCGGCUUUUUAAGUCGGAUGUGAAAUCCCUGAGCUUAACUUAGGAAUUGCAUUCGAUACUGGGAAGCUAGAGUAUGGGAGAGGAUGGUAGAAUUCCAGGUGUAGCGGUGAAAUGCGUAGAGAUCUGGAGGAAUACCGAUGGCGAAGGCAGCCAUCUGGCCUAAUACUGACGCUGAGGUACGAAAGCAUGGGGAGCAAACAGGAUUAGAUACCCCUGUAGUCCCUGUCUCUUAUAU